UACAGAGGUCUCAAGCGUUGUUCGGAUUCAUUGGGCGUAAAGGGCGCGUAGGCUGCGGGGCAAGUCGGGUGUGAAAUCUCAGAGCUCAACUCUGAAACUGCACUCGAUACUGCUUUGCUUGAGGACUGGAGAGGAGAUUGGAAUUCACGGUGUAGCAGUGAAAUGCGUAGAUAUCGUGAGGAAGACCAGUGGCGAAGGCGGAUCUCUGGACAGUUCCUGACGCUGGAGGCGCGGAAAGGCCCAGGGGAGCAAAACGGG
rnacentral:rRNA from 1 species